CAUGAAGCUGGAAUCGCUAGUAAUCGCGGAUCAGAAUGCCGCGGUGAAUACGUUCCCGGGUCUUGUACACACCGCCCGUCACACCAUGGGAGUCGGAAAUGCCCGAAGUCAGUGACCCAACCGUAAGGAGGGAGCUGCCGAAGGUGGAGCCGGUAACUGGGGUGAAGUCGUAACAAGGUAAC
rnacentral:rRNA from 1 species